rnacentral:tRNA from 1 species
CCCGCGGUAGCUCAACGGUAGAGCGUUCGGCUGUAGACCGAAAGGUUGGGCGUUCGAAUCCCCCCCGCGGGA